rnacentral:rRNA from 1 species
GACGAACGCUGGCGGCGUGCUUAACACAUGCAAGUCGAACGGAAAGGCCCUGCUUUUGUGGGGUGCUCGAGUGGCGAACGGGUGAGUAACACGUGAGUAACCUGCCCUUGACUUUGGGAUAACUUCAGGAAACUGGGGCUAAUACCGGAUAGGAGCUCCUGCUGCAUGGUGGGGGUUGGAAAGUUUCGGCGGUUGGGGAUGGACUCGCGGCUUAUCAGCUUGUUGGUGGGGUAGUGGCUUACCAAGGAUUGGACGGGUAGCCGGCCUGAGAGGGUGACCGGCCCCAUGGGACUUAGGGAGGGACCAGGAGUCCAACGGGAGCAAGGGGUGGGAAAUUUUCGAAAAGGGGCGGAGGCCGGGAUGAGGAACGCCGGGUGGGGAAUGACGGCUUUCGGGGUGUAAACCGUUUUCACGUGUGAGGAAGCGUGGGUACGGGAAAUGGGUAAAAAGGCACGGCUAACUAAGGG